rnacentral:rRNA from 1 species
GGGAAUUNUUCCGCAAUGGGCGAAAGCCUGACGGAGCAAUACCGCGUGAGGGAUGACGGCCUAUGGGUNGUAAACCUCUUUUUUCAGGGAGGAAUAUAUGACGUGUACCUGAAGAAUAAGCAUCGGCUAACUCCGUGCCAGCAGCCGCGGUAAGACGGAGGAUGCAAGUGUUAUCCGGAAUCACUGGGCGUAAAGCGUCUGUAGGUGGUUUAAUAAGUCGGCUGUUAAAUCUUGAGGCUUAACUUCAAAACUGCAGUUGAAACUAUUAAACUAGAGUAUAGUAGGGGUAAAGGGAAUUUCCAGUGGAGCGGUGAAAUGCGUAGAUAUUGGAAAGAACACCGAUGGCGAAGGCACUUUACUGGGCUAUUACUGACACUCAGAGACGAAAGCUAGGGUAGCAAAUGGGAUUAGAUACCCCAGUAGUCA